ensembl:lncRNA
AAGAAACAAUCUGGGAUGGAGAAUGAGGAGGAAAAAAGGAGCCAGGAAAUUCCAGCCUUGACCAGCUUGAAACUGAGAUCAGUAAACUCAGCAUUAAGGACUCACCUGACAGAAAAGAUAUCAGAGUCAAAUUUUUGAUCAAUGUUGCAGUGGGAGUGACACCUGAAAUGAGCACAAAUGCUGAAUCACAUUGUCAGAAGUUUCUUGAUCUUCUGAAAAGUCAAGCCUUCACGGAAGAGGACGGGUUACGUUAUGAGGACAUUGCUGUCGUUUUUUGCCUUAAUGGAAAAGAAUCAGAUGAAGAAAUUAUAAAAACUGAGUUGGGAAAAACUGUUGAAAGUGAAAUCACUUUUAAAAAAUGGGGCUUUAAAUGGCCAGAAAAUAUGGAAAUCCCAUAUCGACUUAUAAGAGAGGAAAAUAAACAAUCUAAGCACACCAAGGAAUUUGUAAGAAAUUUCAGGGAGAACAACCCUGAUGUUCCAAUCUACUUCUGCUUUUUUGAUGCAGACACAGUUGAUUUUAAUGAGGUGUUGAGUUCUUACAUAGAUGUAAUCAGUGAGCACAACUACCCAACAGUGAUGUCAACUGGUUUUCUGUUCCCUGAAGACAGUAAGUUCAGAAUACAGAGUGACCAUGACCGAGAAGUGCGCAUAAUAACAGCUGAGCACUUUCCUCUGGGCACUUACUACCCAGAGCCUAACUUCUGUGUGCUUCUACCUGAUGGACGUGACACUCUUCCUGAGUGUUUUAAUGAUGCAGAAGAGACACAAAUGAACAUGGAAUCUCCUGUUUUGAUAAGACAAGUAAAACAACGCAAGGGUUUCUCUGCUGUGUUUGCAAAAAAAAAAACAAUUAUUACACGUGAUUCAAGACAAAAACAUAGUCAUACCAAACCACGGACCUGGGCAAUUAGCGCUUAUACACACAGAGAGCUUAUAAUCACU